rnacentral:rRNA from 1 species
GAACGCACCUUCGGGUGAGUGGCGGACGGGUGAGUAACGCGUGGGAACGUGCCCUUUGGUUCGGAACAACACAGGGAAACUUGUGCUAAUACCGAAUGUGCCCUUCGGGGGAAAGAUUUAUCGCCAUUGGAGCGGCCCGCGUUGGAUUAGCUAGUUGGUGGGGUAAAGGCCUACCAAGGCUACGAUCCAUAGCUGGUCUGAGAGGAUGAUCAGCCUCACUGGGACUGAGACACGGCCCAGACUCCUACGGGAGGCAGCAGUGGGGAAUAUUGGACAAUGGGCGCAAGCCUGAUCCAGCCAUGCCGCGUGGAUGAUGAAGGCCCUAGGGUUGUAAAGUCCUUUCGGCGGGGAAGAUAAUGACGGUACCCGCAGAAGAAGCCCCGGCUAACUUCGUG